rnacentral:rRNA from 1 species
GAUGAACGCUAGCGGGAGGCCUAACACAUGCAAGCCGAGCGGUAUUGUUUCUUCGGAAAUGAGAGAGCGGCGUACGGGUGCGUAACACGUGUGCAACCUGCCUUUAUCUGGGGGAUAGCCUUUCGAAAGGAAGAUUAAUACUCCAUAAUAUAUUGAACGACAUCGUUUAAUAUUGAAAGCUCCGGCGGAUAGAGAUGGGCACGCGCAAGAUUAGCUAGUUGGUGAGGUAACGGCUCACCAAGGCGAUGAUCUUUAGGGGGCCUGGGAGGGUGAUCCCCCACACUGGUACUGAGACACGGACCAGACUCCUACGGGAGGUAGCAGUGAGGAAUAUUGGUCAAUGGGUGCAAGCCUGAACCAGCCAUCCCGCGUGAAGGACGACUGCCCUAUGGGUUGUAAACUUCUUUUGUAUAGGGAUAAACCUACCCUCGUGAGGGUAGCUGAAGGUACUAUACGAAUAAGCACCGGCUAACUCCGUGCCAGCAGCCGCGGUAA